rnacentral:tRNA from 1 species
AAGAGAGGUCUUGGGACAAAGAGAACUGCUAAUUCUCCUACUCAUGGUUCAAAUCCAUGACUCACUU